rnacentral:lncRNA from 1 species
UGUGUUCCAAGGCCAAGAUGGAAAAUGCUCUACAAAAAUCAAAUGAGCAAUUCUCUUUAGUAAGGUUAUUAAUUCUCAGUGUGGUGAAGAAUUGAACCAUUUUCUAACUUGCAUGGCAGGUAUCAUUGCCAUCACUGUCUUGAAGCAUCUAGAAUAACGUAGCCCACAGACCACGUCCACCUCAUCACACGGUUUUGUACGUAAAGCCUUAUUAGAACGCACUGUGCUUGUAACUCAGCUGCAUGCCCCUGCUUUGGCACUCCGGUGGCAUAACCCUGUGACCAUGGCAAUUUCCUAACAGCUCACAAGCUGAAAUAUUUGGGCCUUUGCACAACGAAUUUUGUGGGGUUUGAUCUAGAUAACUGCCUCCAUUUUCUACUUGGUCUUUCUAUGAGCCCUACUUGUGGUCAUGACAGCAACCUAGGCUGUGUGCACCCUAUGUACCGACUUCCCAAUAGAGAGAGAAUGUGACGUAAGUGGAGAAUUCUGCCACUGCUUCCCAGUUUGUGCAUCUUACACGCCUUACCUAUCAUGCUGAGUUCCCUAAUGCCCCUGUGCUGUAAGUAAGAAUACAGGGGUUCUAAAAAGUUCAUAAGAUGCUGGAUCCCGUGUCCGCUGAGUCAUGGAGCCGGCCUUUGGUGCGCCUCCUAAGCUUGUACUCUCACAAAUAAAAAGGUCCUUUCUGCAUCUUAUGAGAUGCUGUAUCUUAUGGCAAAAUCAAAGAAUCUCUCAAUAUCUUUAAAGCUUUCACACCCUUCUUCUAAGAUGAACCAUGAUAUGAGUGGUUUAAUUAAACACAGUCCCUGGCCAGAUGAACAAAAAUUUAACUGAGACUAAUUAAAGGACAGGAGAGUUUUUGCCUGCUGAGACCACUCGAGGUACUGAUCAUGGUGGCUUAGUCAGAGCACAGGGGAGCCACCUAUAUGUCACCCAUCGCUCCUGGCACCCAUUUUUUUUCAGUUUUCUUCUUGAUAAGUUUUGAAGAUGGCCAUUCUGGUAGCCUCCCCCACCUGCUCUCUAUGUACUACCAAACUUUCUGUGGUCACCACUGAGUUCUAAGGACACAGGCAAUCUUCCUUUGAGAGGAAAGGGCUGUGGCUGUAUUGACUUGUUGGCAACUCCAUUGACCAGCUCGAGGAAAAAUAAAUAUUUGUUUUCUGUUGGAAUAAGAGUCAACUAUCAAAAGCCCUUGAGCCAUAAUGUUCUUUAACCUUUGUGUGCUGAUUUUAAUAUGUAUUGCUAAAAGUCCUUGAAACAACAGUCUCAGGUUUCUAUUGAUAGCUGCUCCAUGAGUGUCUAUGUGUGGCAGGCCUGUCGGUAGACAGCCAUGUUCAUCUUUGUUGUCCCCUUUAAAAAAUAACAAGUCACAGAUAUGGGUAGCUCUGCUGACAGAGUGCUUACCUGGCGCACAUGAACCCCAUAACCCUCACUACAUAAAGUGGACAUGCCAGCACACCCCUGUGAUCUCAGCACUUGGGAGGCAGAGUUGGGAAGAUCAGAAGAUGAAGGACAUCCUCAACUGUACAGCAAGAAUGCAGUUAAUGUGAGCUACGUGAGACCCUGCCUUUAAAAAAAAAAAAACAGAGUGAAUGAAAGGAAAGGAAAAACAGCCCCCAUAAGAGGUGACAGGUUCAUUUUGUCUGGUUUCACAGUAGAAUAUUUAGUUUACAGCCAAAUUUAUAGGUGUUUGCUGUUCAUCAUAGUAUAAUAAGCUAAGUGUUCUAGAGAAAAAAGUUGUUUCACACUCAAGCCUUCCCUGGAGACCAGGCUGGAGCACAGAAGAGAAGGAAGCCAGGGGUGGCAUAGUUUGGUAGCUGUGGAACUCAUAAAAGAGGGUUGGCUGUUAGGAAAGUAAGGGCUCAAGCGAAGGGAUAGAAAGGAAAGGAGUUAGAAUGAAAAACAGAAGCUUAAGUGAACUGUGAAACAGAAAAUUUCUUAACUGUAAAUGUCUUCCCUUUUUAUUGAAUGUGUGUGUGUGUGUGUGUGUGUGUGUGUGUGUGUGUGUGUGUGUGUGCGCGCGUGUGCGUGCGCACACGUGUACCAAAGCGUGCAGGACUUGUACAUACCAUGACACACACAGGUGGGGGGGAUCAGAGGACAAUUUUUAAGAAUCAGUUUUUUCUUUGUACCCCAGGUUCCUGAGGUCAAACUCAGGUCAUGAGUCUUGCCCAACAAUAGUUUUUACCUUUGACCUUCUGCUUUUUACCUUUGUACCACAAACUCCACAGGGCUUGAAAAGGUAGUAAUCAAAACUCUGUGAGUCUACUUGAUGAGCACUAAAAUGUAGCCACCUUACCGUACGGUCCAAGCAUUGUCCUGUCCUUCCUGAUGAGGUCAUCUGUGUCUUCUCAGAUGGCCAUGGCUGUUCCUAGCCCCCUCAUCCAAGCACUUUGUUAUCCUUUGGUAGUAGUGUGCCUGCUCCUCAAGAACACAGCUUGGUAUCAUUUAUCUCUAUGCCUGUAGCUAGCCCAGAGAAGAUGCUUAGCAUGGGACAGGUGGGUAGCAGUUUGCAAACAGGGCAGCCUGUGUGGACCUGCCUUUGUACUUGAGACCAGCAGGAGUUUGCCAAGGUUGUGGCAGUCCCCUGAGCUCCUCUUAUAUACAGCCCCUUUCAAAGUAUAAUAUAAAUGCAAUGAUAAUAGAAGGCCCAAGCCCUUUUCUCAAAACCAAGACAGUUGUCUAGAAGAAAUUAAGGCCAAAUAAUUGAAAAGUUUGAGGUCCACUAAAGUUGUUGACCUAGUUGCAAGAACUG